rnacentral:rRNA from 1 species
ACGUACACUCCUGCGGGAGGCAGCAGUGGGGAAUAUUGGACAAUGGGCGCAAGCCUGAUCCAGCCAUGCCGCGUGAGUGAUGAAGGCCCUAGGGUUGUAAAGCUCUUUCACCGGUGAAGAUAAUGACGGUAACCGGAGAAGAAGCCCCGGCUAACUUCGUGCCAGCAGCCGCGGUAAUACGAAGGGGGCUAGCGUUGUUCGGAUUUACUGGGCGUAAAGCGCACGUAGGCGGACUAUUAAGUCAGGGGUGAAAUCCCGGGGCUCAACCCCGGAACUGCCUUUGAUACUGGUAGUCUUGAGUUCGAGAGAGGUGAGUGGAAUUCCGAGUGCAGAGGUGAAAUUCGUAGAUAUUCGGAGGAACACCAGUGGCGAAGGCGGCUCACUGGCUCGAUACUGACGCUGAGGUGCGAAAGCGUGGGGAGCAAACAGGAUUAGAAACCCUGGUAGUCCCAUGA